rnacentral:rRNA from 1 species
AGGUGAUAUAUUGAAAAAUGGUAUAUGUAAUUAAUAUUAUUUUAAGGAUUAUAAAUCAAAAUUUAUAAAUGAUAAAAAGAUUAACUAAAAAGUAAUCAAUCAUAAUCAUGAAAAUGAUAAAAAAUAAAAACAAGUGGAAUGAAACAUCUGAGUAACUUGUAAAAUAACCAACAGGGAUAAUAUAAGUAACGGUGAGUGAAAGUAUUAGAAUCUUAAAGUAUUACCAAGAGGUAAGAAUAAAGUAGUUUCCAACUACUAAGAAAAAAAAAUAAAUUUUAGAUUAAAGUACCGCAAGGGAAAGUAAGAAAAUAGAAUAAUAAAGAGCAAUCAUAGAAUGGUUUACCUCUUGUAUAAUGGGCCAGUGAGUUAUAUAUUUUAGUGAGAUAAAAAUCGAAUAUAAAUAGAUAUUAAUUAAAGUAUAUAGGCCCGAAAGCAAACGAUCUACACAUGUCCAAGUGUAUAUAAAACCUUAUAAGGUAUAUAUAUGACUCAAUAGGUAAUUGUAGCAAUAAUUUCUAAAGAGGUGUGUGUAGCUGUGACAGACAAAUCUGGUUUGCAGAUAGCUGGUUUUCUGCGAAAUAUAUUUUAGUAUAGCCUUUAUAAUCUGUUAAAUUAACAGACAUUUAAACUGGUACAGCACUUAAAUACCUUUGGGGAAUUAGAAUAUAAUUUUAUCAAAAUAUUUAAACCUCGGAAUCAGUGAAUAAUGAAAUAUAAGGAGUCAGACUUAUUGCGAUAAGGUAGUAAGUCGAGAAGGAAACAACCUAGACUAUUAAAUGAAUGUCCCAAAUAUUAAUUAAGUGAAUAAAAUCUAUCCUACUUUAAUUUAAAUAAAAAUGAAAAGUUAAAAUCAUAUGAUUUUACAUUAUUAUAUAUUUAUACCGGCCUUCGGCCGGUAUUUAUAAACCUAAUCUUUUAGGCCAUAAUAUGCGGGGAAUUAAAUUAUAGACAAUUAGUAAGUGGGUUUGACAAUAAUCAACUUUUAAUGAACAUGUAACAAUGCACUAAUUUUAUAUAUAUAUAUAUAAUUUUAUAUAUAUAUUUAUUAAUAAUAGAGAAAAUAUAUCGGGUCUAAAUUAAUAACAGUAUUAUAGAUAUAAUCAUAAAGAUUAUAUGGUAGCAGAAUAUAUAAUGGAAAAUUAUAAAGAGAUUGCUGGCUUGAGUAACGAUAGAUAAUAUAAGAUUAUCCCCUUAUUCAUAAGGUUUUACUAUAAACGAACGGUCCCUAAGAUUAAUAUAGAAAUAUAUAAUUAAUGGGUAAAAGAACAAGAAAAAAAAAAUGAACCGUACUGUAGACCGACACAGGUAUGAUAAAAAGGGAAUGGGAUAACUACUUUGAAUGAACUCGGCAAAAUAAAUCGUGCGACUGUUUACCAAAAACAUAGCUUAUUGCAUACUAGUAAUAGUAAGUAUAAUAAGUGAUAUCUGCCCGGUGUUAGUUUAAUAAAUAUUAUUAUUGUUUAGAUAAUUUUAUAAAAGACUGAUAAACGGCGGUCUUAUUGUGAGGAUCCGAAGGUAGCGGUGCGACAAGAUAAGUUCAUAAUAAGAAUAAGGUGAAAAUCCUUUACAAUUGUCAUAUUUGUAAACCUAACUCAACAUGCAUUAUAAGUAAUUAUUUUGUAUGAAGCUUGAGUGACAACGGCUAUAAACUUUAACUGAUAUAAGUGAUCUAGUCUAGGUUAGAACAACAUGAUUAGUAAAAACUAAAUAGUGUAUUAAAAUCUCGUUAUAGGUAAGUAACUUGUUCAGUAUUUGGUUACUUUAUGAUUAAAAUAAUAUUGACGCUACGAAUAUUAUUAUAUGACUGAAAUAAUAAAAUAUAAUCAUCGGGAUAUAGCUAUAAUCUAAAUUGUUCAUAAAAGUCUUAUUAUGGAAACUUGGUAAGCCUUAUACAUACCUAAUUUAAAUACCCUGCAUAUGCAGGGUUAUAUUUAGGAAGUAAUAUAUAAUAUUAAUGAUCUCCCCGCCCACCAAAGGUGGGCGGGCUUUAUUUAAUAGAAAUUAUUAUAUAGUGUAGAAGGUAAAGGAUAAAUAUAAAAAGCUAAUGAUUUUAUGUAAUGUAAAAUAUAAAGUUAUUUAACUUAUUUCGAAAGAAAGCUGACUUAUAUAUAAGGCCAUUAAAAAAAUAAUAUAACAUUAUAAAUAAACGGUUUCCUUUAAGGGGCCCUUGUUUAUAAAAAGUUAUAUUAUAUUUAAGAUAAAAUAAUCAAGAUGAAAUCUUGAUGAUUAGGGGGGCCUACGGCCCCCCCAUUAUGCCUACUAUAUAAAAAAAUAGAUAUCUAUUUUUUUAUGGAUAUAAGUAUAAUAGGAAAAUCUUAAAAAAUGGUUUGAGCCGUAUGCGAUGAAAGUCGCACGUACGGUUCUUAAGGGGGGAAAGCUUGAGAGGGCCUACCUAUCCUAACAAAUUCAUUGACGUAUAAUUGACGUCCUGCAUGAAUGAAUAUACGAUGCGAUAACUGUAUCCAAAGUAGACUCAGUGAAAUAGCAAUUGCGGUGAAAUUAGUACUAUAAUAUAUCUAUAUUAUACGCCGGGUUGGUGAAAAUCCAACUUUAUAGUUAAAAUGCCCCCGCUUCGCGGGGGGAUUUAAAAGUAUUAAUGAAUUAUAAAGAUGAAAUCUUAAUAAUUAUCAGGGGGAUUAUCCCCCUGAUGAUCAUCCCCCCCUUCGGGGGGGAUAAUGGGGGGGCCGUAGGCCCCCCUAAUCAUCAAGAUUUCAUCUUGAUAAUUAUCCCCCCCUUUCAGGGGCGGGAUAUAUUAUCCGGUAUUAUCUGACAUAAUAAUUCAAAAAAAAAGAAUACAAUCGAAUAAUACUUAAUCCUUUAAAUGGGAUAAAUAACCCCGCCCACCAAAGGUGGGCGGGUUGAUUAAUCCUCGGCUACGCCGGAGGAUAAAUUACAAAAGGCAAAAUGUAAUUUAAUAACUAUAAAUAAAAAGGUGAAAACGGUUAAUGAUAUCUUAGUUAAAGACCGUCGGCAGUUGUAUAUGUCGCUACAGACUGGUUCACCGAGGUUAGACUGAAAUGUCUGUCUAAAUGUACAGUCGGAUUCUGUAAUAUAAUAGAUAAAUAUAUGGGCCCGCCGAAGGCGGGCCUAAUGAUAUAUUUAUUUAUAUAUAAAGGUGAAAGAUUUAUCUAUUAUUUAGAUAUAACUUAUUAGUACAUAAGUAAGAAACCUUUGUAGGUCAAACCUACUUAAGUUAAUCAGAAUUGGAAGAUGCCGUAUAUCCGUAGGUUGACAAAAAGACCCUAUGCAGCUUUACUAUAUCUUUAUUUUGAUUUUUUAAUCAUAAUUUAAUUAUGAUUAACCCUUUUUUUAUUUAUUUCAGCAGAUUAGGUUAUAUUUAUAUUUUAAAUCAAAUGAGAUACCUAUAUAAAUAAAAAAAGAAUCUAAUUAAUAUAGUCAAAAUUCAAUAUUAAUUGAAUUGCCCUUAAAAAGGGUUAUUAAUAAACUAAUGACUUAAGUUUUAACUUAUUUAAGAAAGAGUAAAGAGGUUAGUUUCGAUGGGGCGUCGACAUCAGCGAAAGCAUCUGAUGUGUCUAAUAACAAAGAUCUUGAAUUUCAAGACUAAAUGUUUAAUUAAAUUAUUUAUUUAAUAGUAAAUAACGUACAAUAAUUCUAUAUGGUAAAUAGAAUAAAAAGAUAUGAUAGGUAUUACCUAUCUUUAAAUUUUAUCUUAUCCCCGCUAAGUUUAGCGGGGUAUAUAAGUAAGGAUAACAACAUAAUUGUGCGAUGAUAAUAACACAAACAAGUGGAAUUAGUACUUACGUAGAGUGUAGUGAACAGGCAUAAACAAAUGGUAUGGAUGUCGAUAACGGAUUAAAGUUACGCUAGGGAUUAAAUGUUAGUUCCUUUAUAUAAUAAAUUAUAUAUUAUCUCCGCGAUAGUGAGAUAGCCCUCUAAUGAGGGAAUAUUAAUUGGGUGAAUAACAAAAAACUCUUUAUCAAAAUAAAGACAAUUUGUAACGAAGCAUAUAUAAGUUUUUAUAAGAUAUAUGAACGUUCAACGACUAGUAAUUGAGUAAACUAACAAUAAAAUUACCACGAGCGCCCAAUACCUAAUUUACCCCCCGCCAGAAGAGGCGGGAUAAAAAAUGGGCCCCUUCGGGGCCCAUGAUUAUUUAAUUAAUCUUUAUAUUUUAUAUUUCUUUAAUGCCCCUUUGGGGUAUUUUAUAUUUUAAAUGAUAAUGAUUUUUUAUAUAUGGGCAUUAAGGUAAAGACAUAGUCUGAACUAUAUAGUGAUAUAUAGAAGUUGUAAUUAAAAAAGCAACAAUAACAAAAUUGAACAGGGUAAUACCGCGUGAGAGUUGAUAUCGUCAGCGGUGUUUGCCACCUCGAUGUCGUCUAGACUCGUCCUCCUGGUCGCAGCAACUAGGUAGGGUAGGACUGUUCGUCCUCUAAGGAGUUACUUGAGAUGGGUUAAUUACGACGUGAGUCAGUAAUGAUUUUAUCAUCUAUGGAUUUUUUUCUUAUCUGUUGCCUUAAGUGUACGCAAGGAUAAUAAGGUACAUUCCUAUGGUUAAUUAUUUAAUUUAGCUAAGAAUGUUGUGUUUACAUAUUGAAUGCAUAUCAAAUAUUAAAUCCUUCAGAUAAGUUUAUACAUUAUAGACUAUAAUGUUUUAGUUAAUAUGUGAUUUUCGCAUAUUUUCUAAUUAAAUUAUUUAUAAUACUUAUAUUAUAAAUUAAAAUACAUAUACCU